GACGGUAUAGCUCAGUGGUAGAGCGCGUGGUUAGCAUGCACGAGGUCCUGGGUUCAUUUCCCGGUAUCUCUA
rnacentral:tRNA from 1 species